UACGAAGGGGGCUAGCGUUGUUCGGAAUCACUGGGCGUAAAGCGCUCGUAGGCGGAUCUUUAAGUCAGGGGUGAAAUCCUGGAGCUCAACUCCAGAACUGCCUUUGAUACUGAGGAUCUUGAGUUCGGGAGAGGUGAGUGGAACUGCGAGUGUAGAGGUGAAAUUCGUAGAUAUUCGCAAGAACACCAGUGGCGAAGGCGGCUCACUGGCCCGAUACUGACGCUGAGGCACGAAAGCGUGGGGAGCAAACAGGG
rnacentral:rRNA from 1 species